GAACAUAUCCCUAGUGGAAGCAAAACCCUCUUUAGAAAUUAAAUGAGCUGAUUGAUUCCCUUCUCUCGGGAUGAGCUUGAAAAUACACUGCUCAAACCAUGUAGGGAGAGCUUUUCCAUCCUCGAUAAUUGCACUGAUGCUUGAUCUGUCCAGCUGCUUUCCAGAAAGUUUCCUGAUAACCGAACAGGAAUCUCCUUCGAGUUCGAUGUAGGAGAACCGCAUGUCAGUCGCGAAUCUUAGACCACGAAUCGCUGCCCUAGCUUUGGCGUCAAAUAGGUCAGGCUUGUCAACGAGAACCUGGUUGGAGUGAUAGACCAAGCCUGAAGCAAGCAAUUUGUACCCACUUCUCACAGAGUAUAAGCUAGAGUAAUCAGUCUACCAGACCAGCAUAUCCAGAACGGGAGCAUGGGCAAUGGGCACACAGAGAAUCUUUCGGACCUCGUCAGCAUUACUAUUAGGUAGAAACAAUUCAGAGACAUAAGAGACGCCACUAAUUCUGGGAGAUUAAAUUUUACAGGGACUAGUAUCGGAUAGCCAGCGAUCCUCCCAAAUCAAAAGAGAGGUACCAUCCCCCACUCUUCACUUUAAUCCUGCAUUGAACUCCAAAUGUUUUUCGACAUAAGGAUGACUCCCUAACUCGAGCCGAAGGAAAUCAAUGUGGAAAAUACUUGGCCUUCAAAAACCUACCGACUAAAGAGUGUGGGUUGGUGAUAAGCCUCCAACCCUGCUUUGCUAAUAGAGAAAUACUAAAUUUCACCAAAUCUAUGAAUCCAAGGCCCCCUUUCUCUUUGGCCACACAAGGCACGACCACGAGCACGAAUGUAUACUACGUUUUUGUCGAGAUUGUUGCCACUAGUACUAGCUAAUAAUGGAUUCCAAUUCGUUACAAA